GAUGAACGCUGGCUACAGGCUUAACACAUGCAAGUCGAGGGGAAACAACAGGGAAGCUUGCUUCCCCGGGCGUCGACCGGCGCACGGGUGAGUAACGCGUAUCCAACCUGCCUCUGACUGAAGGAUAACCCGUCGAAAGGCGGACUAAUACCUCAUGGUUUCCUCUGAUGGCAUCCAACGACGAUUAAAGAUUUCAUCUGUCAAGGAUGGGGAUGCCUCUGAUUAGCUUGGUGGCGGGGUAACGGCCCACCAAGGCUACCAUCAGUAGGGGUUCUGAAAAGAAGGUCCCCCACAUUGGAACUGAAACACGGUCCAAACUCCUACCGGAGGCAGCAGUGAGGAAUAUUGGUCAAUGGGCGAGAGCCUGAACCAGCCAAGUAGCGUGCAGGAAGACCGCCCUAUGGGUUGUAAACUGCUUUUAUGCGGGGAUAAAGUGAGGGACGUGUCCCUCAUUGCAGGUACCGCAUGAAUAAGGACCGGCUAAUUCCGUGCCAGCAGCCGCGGUAAUACCGAAGGUCCUGGCGUUAUCCGGAUUUAUUGGGUUUAAAGGGAGCGUAGGCCGUGGAUUAAGCGUGUUGUGAAAUGCAGGUGCUCAACGUCUGCACUGCAGCGCGAACUGGUUCACUUGAGUGUGCGCAACGCAAGCCGAAUUCGUCGUGUAGCGGUGAAAUGCUUAGAUAUGACGAAGAACUCCGAUUGCGAAAGCAGCUUGCGGGAGCACAACUGACGCUUAAGUUCGAAAGUGCGGGUAUCCAACAGG
rnacentral:rRNA from 1 species